UUGGAGACUUUUCCCCUUUACAACUCAUGGUAACCUCAAUAAUUUUCUCCUAAGAAAAAGCUGGUUCAAGGAACAUGAAAUCUUGAUUACUUAGCCUACUGAAACUCAACCCAUCAAGAGUACCUCCAUGGUUCCACCUCUCUAUACAAGCCUUCAGAAAAAGACUUCACACCCUCCCUCUGCUCCUCAUUCCCUUUCCUCAAACAAUCCCCCACUUCUGGCUCCUCUAUGUAAUUGCAUUUCCAAAGUUAUUACCCAAAAAUUGAAAGCAUUUGAUAUUUUUAUUACCUUAGUCCAUUUAACUCUCGACUUUUAACAUAUCCUGUCUCCUCUCCCAUCCUCCUUAGAGAGACCCCUGUCCCCCUCCAUCCCCGUCUGAUCUCUGAAGCUCGACAAAGAGAUCAUCUUUCAUCUGGCUCUCCUCCCCCAACUCCUCCCUAUUCCACCUCUUCAGCUUCUCUUUUAACAUGGCAAGCUUUUUGGCAACUCUAGAGUUGGCAAAAUCACCCACCUCCAGCUCUUCCUACUACUUAAUCUUAUUGUGGAACCUAGGAACUUUGAGCCAUUUGUUCCCGAAUUUAAAAGUUAACUAUGAAGCACUGUAAAUAUUUUUGCAACCUCACUUCAGGACAG
rnacentral:lncRNA from 1 species